GUCUUUAUCUGUUAUUUGUAAAUUGGGAAAUUUGACAUUAUGAAUGUUGGUAUUGUUUUAUAAAUAAAUAACUGUAAUUUUUUUUUUUUGGGGGAUAAAUUUUAGGUGUGCUGUUCGGGUCAUGGAAAGAAUGGUUCGCUCUGUGUUCUUCGUCAGUCAAUUCGUCCAGAAAUGAUUAAGAGAUCGAUGUGUGGUUCCUGUUUCUGGUUUUUCCUUUGCUGAGUUUUUUUGUUUAGAAUUUUUCUGCCUAUAGACCAUUGAAGUAUCUGAUAUUGUAGGGUCUUCAUUCAUGUUAUUUUGGCAUCCUAUAGCAGAAAAUGAUGCAAAAAAUGAAGAGGCUGAUAUUGAGGAGCUCAUCAAAGCAGUUGCAGAUCAGGUGGCAAAGUAAUUAUAAGUGGAACAGCAGUUGGAGAGAUGGGCACUACAUAUCUUUAAGCGUCACAGCUGGUAUCAAUUUCUAAUGUUUUUCUCUGUAAGUGAAAAAGUAAGUUAGUCUCUUUAUCUAUCUCUCUGUCUUUUCUAUAUCAAUGUAGUCACUAUAUUAUGAGCAAGGAUAAACAGCGUGGUUAAAGAAUUGGAUUGGUGGGUUCUGCUAGGCCUCAUUGAUAAGUGGGCUGGUGUUAAGGUAAGGUAUGCCUUGAUUGAUUUUUGUGAUCGUUACUUAUUGAACGUCUUUAUAUGCGGAUGAUUUUAUUUUAUAUGGAAGAGUAUUGCAGUGAUCUAAUGAUUUUAGAUGUCAAUGAUUAGUGAAAGAAGAAAGUUGUCCUCUGAACUAUAUUAGUGGUGGCUUAUCAUUGAUUUGGCUGGAAGUUGGACUUUUUCCCCUUCAUUUCCAAGAUGGAAAGAUAGGCAGUAAUAUUUGCACUUAUGAUGUGUUCUUUGCUGGUUGAUUUAAUGUCAGUGGGUAAUUUUCUUAUGGAUAGGUUCUCCAGCAAUAACAGUGGCAAAUCCAACUGAUCUUGUAAAAGUUAGACUUCAAGCUGACAGAAAAUUGCCACUACGCACACCAAGUAUGUAAGGAUUUGGGGGACAAAUUGCAUUUGCUGGACAAUGCUAGUGGUACAAUCGUGUGUAAGGAUUUGAAAUAAUAAAAGCAUGUUUGAAGAGUGUUAUUAACUUGUUCUUGUCAAACAAGUUUGGAAGAGCAUCAUUACACAAGAAGUAUGUGCAGGAGUAUCAGUAAUUUUUCUUGUGCAGGAGUAUCAGUAAUUUUUCUUGUCCUAGCAUCAUUCACAUGCAGCAUACGUGCAUGUUUUUGGAACAAUGAUAUUGUAUCAGCUUUUGCUAUCUUUCAGUGUAAUUAGCUAGAAUGCCUUCUUUUUUGGUUU